rnacentral:rRNA from 1 species
GUAAUCAUGGCUCAGAACGAACGCUGGCGGCAGGCUUAACACAUGCAAGUUGAACGGGAUUUGUGUGGUGCUUGCACCAUAUAAUGAGAGUAGCGCACUGGUGAGUAACACGUGGGAACGUACCUUUUGGUGGGGGACAACAUCUGGAAACGGAUGCUAAUACCGCAUAAGACCUGAGGGUGAAAGAUUUAUCGCCGAAAGAACGGCCCGCGGAAGAUUAGGCAGUUGGUGGGGUAAAGGCCUACCAAACCUACG